rnacentral:rRNA from 1 species
AGAGUUUGAUCCUGGCUCAGGAUGAACGCUAGCGGCAGGCUUAAUACAUGCAAGUCGAGGGGCAGCAUGGUGUAGCAAUACACUGAUGGCGACCGGCAAACGGGUGCGGAACACGUACGCAACUUACCCAAAACUGAGGAAUAGCCCGGGGAAACCCGGAUUAAUACCUCGUAAUAUAAUUGAAUGGCAUCAUUUGAUUAUUAUAGCUCCGGCGGUUUUGGAUGGGCGUGCGCCUGAUUAGGUAGUUGGCGGGGUAACGGCCCACCAAGCCUACGAUCAGUAACUGGUGUGAGAGCACGACCAGUCACACGGGCACUGAGACACGGUCCGGACUCCUACGGGAGGCAGCAGUGGGGAAUAUUGGACAAUGGGCGAAAGCCUGAUCCAGCGACGCCGCGUGGGUGAAGAAGGCCUGCGGGUUGUAAAGCCCUUUCGGUGGGGAAGAAAAGUUUCGACCUAACACGUCGGGACCUUGACGUAACCCACUAAAGAAGCACCGGCUAACUCUGUGCCAGCCGCCGCGGUAAUAC